GGUCCAGAGUAUUGAGCUGCUGACCCAGAGGCCGCGGGUUUGAAUCCUUCUUU
rnacentral:tRNA from 1 species